rnacentral:rRNA from 1 species
CAGCCGCCACGGUAAUACGUAGGUGGCAAGCGUUGUCCGGAAUUAUUGGGCGUAGAGGGCUCGCAGGCGGUUUCUUAAGUCUGAUGUGAAAGCCCCCGGCUCAACCGGGGAGGGUCAUUGGAAACUGGGAAACUUGAGUGCAGAAGAGGAGAGUGGAAUUCCACGUGUAGCGGUGAAAUGCGUAGAGAUGUGGAGGAACACCAGUGGCGAAGGCGACUCUCUGGUCUGUAACUGACGCUGAGGAGCGAAAGCGUGGGGAGCGAACAGGAUUAGAUACCCCAGUAGUCCCUGUCUCUUAUAC